rnacentral:rRNA from 1 species
UCCGAACACAGAAGUUAAGCUCUCUAGCGCUGAUGGUACUUGGUGGGAAACUGCCUGGGAGAGUAGGACGUAGCCACGU